rnacentral:rRNA from 1 species
UACAUGGGGUGCAAACGUUGCUCGGAAUUAUUGGGCGUAAAGCGCACGUAGGCGGUUUGUUAAGUCGGAUGUGAAAUCCCUCGGCUCAACUGAGGAAGUGCAUCCGAAACUGGCAAGCUUGAGUACGAAAGAGGGUCGCGGAAUUCCCGGUGUAGAGGUGAAAUUCGUAGAUAUCGGGAGGAACACCAGUAGCGAAGGCGGCACUUUGGGCCGGUACUGACGCUGAGGAGCGAAAGCGUGGGGAGCAAACAGG